GAUGAACGCUGGCGGCGUGCCUAAUACAUGCAAGUCGAGCGAACAGACGAGGAGCUUGCUCCUCUGACGUUAGCGGCGGACGGGUGAGUAACACGUGGAUAACCUACCUAUAAGACUGGGAUAACUUCGGGAAACCGGAGCUAAUACCGGAUAAUAUAUUGAACCGCAUGGUUCAAUAGUGAAAGACGGUUUUGCUGUCACUUAUAGAUGGAUCCGCGCCGCAUUAGCUAGUUGGUAAGGUAACGGCUUACCAAGGCAACGAUGCGUAGCCGACCUGAGAGGGUGAUCGGCCACACUGGAAUUGAGACACGGUCCAGACUCCUACGGGAGGCAGCAGUAGGGAAUCUUCCGCAAUGGGCGAAAGCCUGACGGAGCAACGCCGCGUGAGUGAUGAAGGUCUUCGGAUCGUAAAACUCUGUUAUUAGGGAAGAACAAAUGUGUAAGUAACUAUGCACGUCUUGGCGGUACCUAAUCAGAAAGCCACGGCUAACUACGUG
rnacentral:rRNA from 1 species